rnacentral:rRNA from 1 species
GAUGAACGCUGGCGGCGUGCCUAAUACAUGCAAGUCGAGCGAACGGACGAGAAGCUUGCUUCUCUGAUGUUAGCGGCGGACGGGUGAGUAACACGUGGAUAACCUACCUAUAAGACUGGGAUAACUUCGGGAAACCGGAGCUAAUACCGGAUAAUAUUUUGAACCGCAUGGUUCAAAAGUGAAAGACGGUCUUGCUGUCACUUAUAGAUGGAUCCGCGCUGCAUUAGCUGGUUGGUAAGGUAACGGCUUACCAAGGCAACGAUGCAUAGCCGACCUGAGAGGGUGAUCGGCCACACUGGAACUGAGACACGGUCCAGACUCCUACGGGAGGCAGCAGUAGGGAAUCUUCCGCAAUGGGCGAAAGCCUGACGGAGCAACGCCGCGUGAGUGAUGAAGGUCUUCGGAUCGUAAAACUCUGUUAUUAGGGAAGAACAUAUGUGUAAGUAACUGUGCACAUCUUGACGGUACCUAAUCAGAAAGCCACGGCUAACUACGUGCCAGCAGCCGCGGUAAUACGUAGGUGGCAAGCGUUAUCCGGAAUUAUUGGGCGUAAAGCGCGCGUAGGCGGUUUUUUAAGUCUGAUGUGAAAGCCCACGGCUCAACCGUGGAGGGUCAUUGGAAACUGGAAAACUUGAGUGCAGAAGAGGAAAGUGGAAUUCCAUGUGUAGCGGUGAAAUGCGCAGAGAUAUGGAGGAACACCAGUGGCGAAGGCGACUUUCUGGUCUGUAACUGACGCUGAUGUGCGAAAGCGUGGGGAUCAAACAGGAUUAGAUACCCUGGUAGUCCACGCCGUAAACGAUGAGUGCUAAGUGUUAGGGGGUUUCCGCCCCUUAGUGCUGCAGCUAACGCAUUAAGCACUCCGCCUGGGGAGUACGACCGCAAGGUUGAAACUCAAAGGAAUUGACGGGGACCCGCACAAGCGGUGGAGCAUGUGGUUUAAUUCGAAGCAACGCGAAGAACCUUACCAAAUCUUGACAUCCUUUGACAACUCUAGAGAUAGAGCUUUCCCCUUCGGGGGACAAAGUGACAGGUGGUGCAUGGUUGUCGUCAGCUCGUGUCGUGAGAUGUUGGGUUAAGUCCCGCAACGAGCGCAACCCUUAAGCUUAGUUGCCAUCAUUAAGUUGGGCACUCUAAGUUGACUGCCGGUGACAAACCGGAGGAAGGUGGGGAUGACGUCAAAUCAUCAUGCCCCUUAUGAUUUGGGCUACACACGUGCUACAAUGGACAAUACAAAGGGCAGCGAAACCGUGAGGUCAAGCAAAUCCCAUAAAGUUGUUCUCAGUUCGGAUUGUAGUCUGCAACUCGACUACAUGAAGCUGGAAUCGCUAGUAAUCGUAGAUCAGCAUGCUACGGUGAAUACGUUCCCGGGUCU